CCCAGUUGUUGCAGCAAGUUUGAAACAAGCUGUUAACAACUUGUAACAAGCUUGAUGGCAUUAUCAGACUUGUCACAAGGUUGUUCUAACAAGUCUGAUACAUUCAUGAUGGACAAGAAUGUUACAAGGUUGAUGACACAAGGUUGUAACAAUACUGCUAUAUCAUGACUGUAUCGGACUUGUCGAAACAACUUUGUCACAAACCUGAUAAUAUCGACAAGGUUGUUACAAAUUGUUAACAGCUUGUUCCAAACUUGUUGACAACUUGUGAC